UACGGAGGAUGCAAGCGUUAUCCGGAAUGAUUGGGCGUAAAGCGUCCGUAGGUGGCUAUUCAAGUCUGCUGUUAAAGCGCAGGGCUUAACCCUGUAAAGGCGGUGGAAACUGGAGAGCUAGAGUGUGGUAGGGGUAGAGGGAAUUCCCGGUGUAGCGGUGAAAUGCGUAGAGAUCGGGAAGAACACCAGUGGCGAAGGCGGCCAUCUGGGACAACACUGACGCUGAAGCACGAAAGCGUGGGGAGCAAACAGG
rnacentral:rRNA from 1 species